UUAUUCAGUAGUUCUCAUGGAUAAUCGGAUGUCAAAGAUAUGUACUGCCUCAUCUGACUUAAAUUAGUGAUUUUAGUUGUGCUGUAAUUCUCAUGGCCUCAGAUCUAUAUCAGCAUGUCCAGCUUCUCUGAUUCUCCCCAAACAGUCCAGACUGUCUUGUGAUUCCUUUAAAUACUAGGAUCAGGCUCUUGCAGCAUGUGCACAUCUUGAUCAAAGUUCGUCUGAUCAUCUGCCUUGGCCUCAAGAUGUUGGAUCCGGACCUACCACUGUGCUUGGGAAUGACAGGCGGCGCAGGAGGGACUCGGACCUUUGACUGAUCGACCAGGAUUAGGAUCAGGAUUGGGAUUACUUCUCAGGACCAUUUCAAAAUAUCCCAAGCAUGCUGCUAGCUAAUCUCCAUACAGGCAGAGACAGAAGCUGAACUGAUCUAAACAAAAGGAUAGUCAUAUUUGGGCCCAAUCCAGCAAGCCUUUGUGGAUGUGAGGUAAAGGUUCUCAUCUGAGGUAGUUCAAUUGACUUCAGUGGACUCCAGUGGGACUACUUUGG
rnacentral:lncRNA from 1 species